rnacentral:rRNA from 1 species
UACGAAGGGGGCUAGCGUUGCUCGGAAUCACUGGGCGUAAAGGGCGCGUAGGCGGCCUGCUAAGUCGGACGUGAAAUCCCUCGGCUCAACCGAGGAACUGCGUCCGAUACUGGUGGGCUUGAAUCCGGGAGAGGGAUGUGGAAUUCCAGGUGUAGCGGUGAAAUGCGUAGAUAUCGGGAGGAACACCAGUGGCGAAGGCGGCGAUCUGGCCUAGUACUGACGCUGAGGUGCGAAAGCGUGGGGAGCAAACAGG